CUAGUUGGUGAGGUGACGGCUCACCAAGGCGACGAUCAGUAGCCGACCUGAGAGGGUGAUCGGCCACAUUGGAACUGAGACACGGUCCAAACUCCUACGGGAGGCAGCAGUGGGGAAUAUUGCACAAUGGGCGAAAGCCUGAUGCAGCAACGCCGCGUGAGCGAUGAAGGCCUUCGGGUCGUAAAGCUCUGUCCUCAAGGAAGAUAAUGACGGUACUUGAGGAGGAAGCCCCGGCUAACUACGUGCCAGCAGCCGCGGUAAUACGUAGGGGGCUAGCGUUAUCCGGAUUUACUGGGCGUAAAGGGUGCGUAGGCGGUCUUUUAAGUCAGGAGUGAAAGGCUACGGCUCAACCGUAGUAAGCUCUUGAAACUGGAGGACUUGAGUGCAGGAGAGGAGAGUGGAAUUCCUAGUGUAGCGGUGAAAUGCGUAGAUAUUAGGAGGAACACCAGUAGCGAAGGCGGCUCUCUGGACUGUAACUGACGCUGAGGCACGAAAGCGUGGGGAGCAAACAGGAUUAGAUACCCUGGUAGUCCACGCCGUAAACGAUGAGUACUAGCUGUCGGAGGUUACCCCCUUCGGUGGC
rnacentral:rRNA from 1 species